GUGCUUGCUUCGGCAGCACAUAUACUAAAAUUGGAACGAUACAGAGGAGAUUAGCAUGGCCUCUGCACAAGGAUGACACACAAACUCGUGAAGCAUUCCAUAUUUUA